rnacentral:piRNA from 1 species
CCUUCUAGUUCCGUGUGGCCUUUGUCAGC